UAGGGAAUAUUGGGCAAUGGAGGCAACUCUGACCCAGCCAUGCCGCGUGCAGGAUGAAGGCGCUCAGCGUUGUAAACUGCUUUUAUCUAGGAAGAAUGAUCGGAGUGCGCUCUGAUGUGACGGUACUAGAGGAAUAAGCACCGGCUAACUCCGUGCCAGCAGCCGCGGUAAUACGGAGGGUGCGAGCGUUGUCCGGAUUUAUUGGGUUUAAAGGGUGCGUAGGUGGUAUGGUAAGUCUGGUUUGAAAGCUGGUCGCUUAACGAUCAGAUGUGGCUGGAAACUGCGGUACUUGAAUGCGGUGGCGGUAGCUGGAACGGGUCAUGUAGCGGUGAAAUGCAUAGAUAUGACCCAGAACCCCGAUUGCGAAGGCAGGCUACUACGCCGUGAUUGACACUGAGGCACGAGAGCAUGGGUAGCGAACA
rnacentral:rRNA from 1 species